rnacentral:rRNA from 1 species
GGUAGUCUCGCACAGAUGCAUAUCAAUAAGCGGAGGAAAAGAAACUAACAAGGAUUCCCCUAGUAACGGCGAGUGAAGCGGGAAGAGCUCAAAUUUGAAAUCUUAAAGGGUUUCCCUUUACGAAUUGUAGUUUAAAGAAGUGUUUUCUGUUGAGGUUUUGGUAAAAGUUCUUUGGAAUAGGACAUCAUAGAGGGUGAGAAUCCCGUAUUUGACCUUUACUUUCAACUUUGUGAUACACUUUCAAAGAGUCGGAUUGUUUGGGAAUGCAGUCCAAAAUGGGUGGUAAAUUUCAUCUAAAGCUAAAUAUUGGCGAGAGACCGAUAGCGAACAAGUACCGUGAGGGAAAGAUGAAAAGAACUUUGAAAAGAGAGUUAAACAGUACGUGAAAUUGUCAAAAGGGAAGCGUUUGACACCAGUGUUGUUUUUCUGAAAAUCAAUUAGAGAACUGUUUAUGCUAAGUUGUUUAGACUUUAUCAGCUAACUGUUUAGUUUUGAGCUUUUCUUUAAUGCACUUUUCAGUUAACAAGUCAACAUCAAUUUCUUUUGCUGUAAAAAAGCUUGAGGAAGGUGGCUUGAGAUUCGUCUUAAGUGUUUAUAGCCUCUUGCCUAUGCAGUCGGAGAGAUUGAGGUCUGCAGCGUAGAUCCUUCGGGGCUAAAUGCAUUUGUGCUAAGUUAUAGCAUUUUAUAGACAACUUGUUGACUAUGAUUUGUCUUGUAGCUUACUCGCUUAUGUUAUUUUACCUACGCUUAGGAUGUUGAAGACUCUACAGAGAUA